rnacentral:misc_RNA from 1 species
GAUGAAGAACGUAGUGAAAUGCGAUAAGUAGUGUGAAUUGCAGAAUUCAGUGAAUCAUCGAAUCUUUGAACGCACAUUGCGCCCCUUGGUAUUCCAUGGGGCAUGCCUGUUCGAGCGUCAUUUGUACCUUCAAGCUUUGCUUGGUGUUGGGUGUUUGUCUCGCCUUUGCGUGUAGACUCGCCUUAAAAUAAUUGGCAGCCGGCGUAUUGAUUUCGGAGCGCAGUACAUCUCGCGCUUUGCACUCAUAACGACAGCGUCCAAAAGUACAUUUUACACUCUUGACCUCGGAUCAGGUAGGGAUACCCGCUGAACUUAAGCAUAUCAAUACGCGGAGGA